CCCGCUGAACUUAAGCAUAUCAUUAAGCGGAGGAAAAGAAACUAACAAGGAUUCCCCUAGUAACUGCGAGUGAAGCGGGAAGAGCUCAAAUUUAAAAUCUGACAGCUCUGCUGUCCGAGUUGUAAUCUGUAGAAGCAUUUUCCGCAUUGGACUGUGUACAAGUCUCUUGGAAUAGAGCGUCAUAGAGGGUGAGAAUCCCGUCCAUGACACAGACUACCAAUGCUUUAUGAUAUGCUCUCAAAGAGUCGAGUUGUUUGGGAAUGCAGCUCAAAAUGGGUGGUAAAUUCCAUCUAAAGCUAAAUACAGGCGAGAGACCGAUAGCGAACAAGUACCGUGAGGGAAAGAUGAAAAGCACUUUGGAAAGAGAGUUAAACAGUACGUGAAAUUGUUGAAAGGGAAACGCUUGAAGUCAGUCACAUUCUGCAGAACUCAGCCUUGCCUUGUUAGGCCUGGUGUAUUUCCUGCAGGAUGGGUCAACAUCAAUUUUGGUCAGUGGAUAAAGGAAGAGGGAAUGUGGCACCUGUAAAGGUGUGUUAUAGUCCUCUUUCAUAUACAUUGGCUGGGAUUGAGGACUGCAGCAUGCCCCUGUGGCCAGGCUUCAUGUCACAUGCUUAGGAUGUUGACAAAAUGGCUUUAAGCGACCCGUCUUGAAACACGG
rnacentral:rRNA from 1 species